GACGAACGCUGGCGGCGUGCUUAACACAUGCAAGUCGAACGGAAAGGCCCUGCUUGCGGGGUACUCGAGUGGCGAACGGGUGAGUAACACGCGGGUGAUCUGCCCUGCACUUCGGGAUAAGCCUGGGAAACUGGGUCUAAUACCGGAUAGGAGCCAUUUUUAGUGUGAUGGUUGGAUAGUUUAUUCGGUGUAGGAUGAGCUCGCGGCCUAUCUGCUUGUCGGUGGGGUAAUGGCCUACCAAGACGGCGACGGGUAGCAGGCCUGCGAGGGUGGACGGCGACACUGAGACUGAGAUGCGGCCCAGACUCCUACGCGAGGCAGCAGUGGGGAAUAUUGAACAAUGGGCGCAAGCCUGAUGCAGCGACGCCGCGUGGGGGAUGACGGCCUUCGGGUUGUAAACUCCUUUCGCUAGGGACGAAGCUUUUUGUGACGGUACCUAGAUAGGAAGCACCGGCUAACUACGUG
rnacentral:rRNA from 1 species